CCUACGGGUGGCAGCAGUGGGGAAUAUUGGACAAUGGGGGGAACCCUGAUCCAGCCAUGCCGCGUGUGUGAAGAAGGCCCUCGGGUUGUAAAGCACUUUCAGUGAGGAAGAACGCCUGGUGGUUAAUACCCAUCAGGAAAGACAUCACUCACAGAAGAAGCACCGGCUAACUCCGUGCCAGCAGCCGCGGUAAUACGGAGGGUGCGAGCGUUAAUCGGAAUUACUGGGCGUAAAGCGCGCGUAGGUGGCUUGAUAAGCCGGUUGUGAAAGCCCCGGGCUCAACCUGGGAACGGCAUCCGGAACUGUCAAGCUAGAGUGCAGGAGAGGAAGGUAGAAUUCCCGGUGUAGCGGUGAAAUGCGUAGAGAUCGAGAGGAAUACCAGUGGCGAAGGCGGCCUUCUGGACUGACACUGACACUGAGGUGCGAAAGCGUGGGUAGCAAACAGGAUUAGAUACCCCGGUAGUC
rnacentral:rRNA from 1 species